GACGAACGCUGGCGGCGUGCUUAACACAUGCAAGUCGAACGGAAAGGCCCUGCUUUUGUGGGGUGCUCGAGUGGCGAACGGGUGAGUAACACGUGAGUAACCUGCCCUUGACUUUGGGAUAACUUCAGGAAACUGGGGCUAAUACCGGAUAGGAGCUCCUGCUGCAUGGUGGGGGUUGGAAAGUUUCGGCGGUUGGGGAUGGACUCGCGGCUUAUCAGCUUGUUGGUGGGGUAGUGGCUUACCAAGGCUUUGACGGGUAGCCGGCCUGAGAGGGUGACCGGCCACAUUGGGACUGAGAUACGGCCCAGACUCCUACGGGAGGCAGCAGUGGGGAAUAUGGAACAAUGGGCGGAAGCCUGAUGCAGCAACGCCGCGUGCGGGAUGACGGCCUUCGGGUUGUAAACCGCUUUCGCCUGUGACGAAGCGUGAGUGAGGGUAAUGGGUAAAGAAGCACCGGCUAACUACGUG
rnacentral:rRNA from 1 species